UCGACAUAUAUAACACAUUAUAUAUAUUAUAAAAAUAAAAGAUAAUAUAUCCAAUAGUUAAUUAAUAUUAAAAUCACGUGUAUAUUGCAUGAGCUGAUCAAAAAUUCCCACAAUUAUGAUAACUCAUAAUUGAGACAAUUAAGCUCUUAAUUAAGGUACAAUUAAUAAAAUAUUAACGCCCUUAAUUAAGACACAAUUAACGUCCUCAAUUAAGGC
rnacentral:lncRNA from 1 species